GCUGGCCAGAAGCUCGUCCCAGGCCCGCCUCUUUGCCUCCUUAAUGGCUCGUUGAAGGAGCCUUCGCGCUUCGCUGUAGGCCUCGUACAGACGAACCACCGUGUCUUCGUCCACCCGCCGCCUACGGCGGGAUCUGAUGUACCGGCGCCGGGCGCGGAUGCAUGUCUCGCGGGGACGAGCUAUCUCCUCGGACCACCAGUACACAGCGCAGGCGCGGCGCGGGGCUCCAGACCGCGGCAUACACGAAUCGCAGAUCGCGUGCAUGUCGCUCCUCAGCCUGGUCGCUCCCGCUUCCGCGUCCUCGUCGGUCCUGGAUUCUUCUAACCAAGCGACGGCUAUAGCGGCCGCCGCCAUGAAGUCCUCGUCGCGGCGGGUCACCGCCCACCGCGGGAAUCUUCUUCUCCUUCACGAUGGGCCGAUAGGCCCGCGCGCACCCAACGAACGGCCGCCUAUCACGCCGCCAACCGCCAAUUCCAUGAAGAUGAAGAGGUGGUCCGAGAGGGUCUCCUCCGGGGAGACCUCCCAACCGGAAACACGGCGGGAUGCGGCAGGGUCGAGUGCGGCCGCCCAGUCCUGUACGUCGAGCCCCCUUCCGUUGGCCCUGCGGGAGCCCCACGCCGUUGAGUGGGCGUUGAAAUAGCCGAGGACCAGUGACGGGCAGGCG